UGAGGUAGUAGGUUGUAUGGU
rnacentral:ncRNA from 5 species